rnacentral:rRNA from 1 species
GAUGAACGCUGGCGGCGUGCCUAAUACAUGCAAGUCGAGCGCAGCGGGGACGUGUGAGUAACACGUGGAUAACCUCCUAUAAGACUGGGAUAACUUCGGGAAACCGGAGCUAACCCGGAUCCUUAUAGAUGGCUCUGCGCUGCAUUGGCUAGUUGCUAAGGUAACGGCUUACCAAGGUAACGAUGCAUAGCCGACCUGAGAGUGUGAUCGGCCACACUGGAACUGAGACACGGUCCAGACGCCUACGGGAGGCAGCAGUAGGGAAUCGUCCGCAAUGGGCGAAAGCCUGACGGGGCAAAGCCGCGUGAGUGAUGAAGGUCUUCGGAUCGUAAAACUCUGUGAUUAGGGAAGCGGUACCUAAUCAGAAAGCCACGGCUAACUACGUGCCAGCAGCCGCGGUAAUAC